UGAUGCUGCUCUACCACUCCAAACACAUAUGUAGUUCUUGUCUGAUAUUGGCUUUGAAGCAGGAGGGGACUGGGUCAGUUCUUGGAUGGGAGACCACCAGAGAAUACUGGAUGCUACACUGA
rnacentral:rRNA from 1 species